ACAACUUGGAUGUUGCAUUCCUUAGCUCAAAUUUUAACUGUAAAAGGUUUGACGAAUAUCUCUGUUUGCAAACGAUUUGAAGUUAUUAAUUAAGAAAACCUAACCAAUAGAACGAACUUCAUGAAAACCUUUAUGACGAAGCAAGGGUGGCAUUUCUCAACUAUGCUAAAAUGACCUUUCCAUGCAAAUGUUCAUGCAAACACCGUUUUGUUAAGGGUUUCGCAAAGCAUAAGCAAGAAAAAACGAUUAAAACAAGCCGAUGCAUCAAUACUCAAACGGGGCAAUGAACUACCAGAACUCGUUAGCAUCGUCUUCUACAAAUAAUUUGUUAUGCUUGGAAAUAAGCCGGAUCGAUAAAAAAUUAGCGUGAUUGUAAUUCCUUGGGAAAACAUAAACCUUGAUUGAAGGUCCAUUACUUAUCCAACGAUACACGAUCAAACGCCGGUAGUGGUGAAAUACUGCGUGAUAUCAGGUCGUAUUGAGUGAGAACGGCUGUUUGCCGACUUGAUCGUGGUAAGGAUUUCUGUGAGCAGCUCGUAGUUUCGACUGUUUACGGUCGCCUAGCGAGCUGCCGUUAGUGAGAACGAUGAUUCGGCUAAUUUGCGCACUGUAUCAAAACUGGUAUUUUAUUGCAUAAUUUUUUUUUUACGUGCGUAUGCAUCCGCAGUACAGUUUCCAAACGCGCUUAUUAAAGUCAGAAGUGCAGGUCAAAAUUGUCAAUGUCGUAAUUUUAUUCUCAUGGCUCGUUUGCUUAAGCCAAUUCAAAUUCAAAUCUAAGCUUAUAUUAGAAUUAUGGAAAGAUUUACUAAUGAAGUUAUACUCAUACACGCUUUUAAAUAUUCAUUAGGAUCAAAUUAUGUAAUUUCUUUUCAUUAGGAUCAAAUUGUAAUUUCUUUGUUGCCUUUAAGAAAUUAAAGAUCAUUGAAUAAAGCCAAUCCAGUGAGAAAUAAUCAGCCGUUUGUACAUGUCAUGUAAAUAUCAUCUUAAGGAGCAAGACUCUUUGCAAGCGUAUGAGUAAUGUCAACAAUGUGUGCGUAAAAACUUCUUUUCCUGAUUUUAAUCAAUAAAUCUUCCAUAUGGUUGAAAAAUAAACCAAUCGGUUCACUCUGUCUAAAAUUGCAAUUCAAGAAAAGCGAACUGCUUUUGUAACAGAAAAUAUUUAGUUUUGUUUAUUUUAUGUAGCGCAAUCUAAUACACUCAAAUAAAAAUUCACGUUCGAUUCACUUGAAAAAUCACGUAGAAUGGUUUCAAAUGUCAAAUUGAAUAUUUUACGUGACGAAAAUGAAUGUUAUACGAACAUCCCCUAAAAUGAAUAUAGUCAUCACAUAAGGUUUACGUGAAUUGACCAAACGUCAAACAAUCUACGUGAAUUUCCAGUGUGAAAAACUCGAUUUUGAAAAUGGCGAGCAGUGGCCCUCGAAGUUAUGAAAGUUUCCAUGUGUUCAACUGGACCGAGCGCCUGCGUUAGUCCGUAAGAUUACCCGCUCCUGCCGAAUGCUUCAAACAGGCCGUCGGUAUAAAGCUAGAGACACUGGAACCAUGUAAUGCGACUUCAACCUGCAUCGGUAGUGUUGUGGGAGUUCUUGGAUCUCGACUUCGGCUUCGGUUGGAUGGCAGUGACAACAUAAACGAUUUCUGGAGGCUUGUCGAUUUGAGAUACCACGACGAUAUUAGUUGCUUUUUAAGCGAUUGGAAUUAUAUGAAAAUUUUCUGAAAUAAAUGUUUUAUAUUUCA